UAAUUUUAGGUGUUGGGCACAUUAAUUUUUGAUAUUAAAGGAGACAAAAUAGUCAAAAUUAA
rnacentral:tRNA from 1 species